rnacentral:rRNA from 1 species
CUUUACUACAGCCUGACAUUGUGUCGUUGCCUCACGCGCGUAGCGUAGGAGGGACCCUUUGAAGCGUUUCCUUCGGGAGACGUGGAGGGGCCAAUGAAACACCUCCCACGUGUUGCAACGCCACUCACCCCGGGUAAUGACCGGGGGACCGUGUUUGGUGGGUAGUUUAACUGGGGCGGUUGCCUCCUAAAAAGUAACGGAGGCGUGCAAAGGUCAGCUCAGCCAGGAUGGAAAUCUGGCUUUGGCGUGUAAGAGCACAAGCUGGCUUAACUGUAAGGGCUACAACCCGAGCAGAUGCGAAAGCAGGUUCUAGUGAACCGACGGUAACGUGUGAGAGUGCCGUCGAUCAACGGAUAAAAGCUA